UAGAAGAAUUCUAUUAUCUAUGCUAUUGCCACGUCUUGGGGGACUCAGAAACCGCCUUUUCACAAAUAUAUCCGUGUGCCUUUCUUUCUUCCACAUUUAAAGACCGCGACCACUCGCAUUAUAUGCUUUAACAUGGCCUAUUCAUUCUUCUACUAUCUAUGAAAAUAAAUGUCUUAUUACUUCAAUCAAUUUGAUGUUAUUAAGACAUCGUAGUUAUUGUGUUUAAAUUGUUGUCAACUGGUUGUUAUGUUUGGAAAUGUUUGCAUUAGUUUAUCAGAGGAUGUAAUUUCGAUAAUUUUACCAAAAGCUCCCAAUAGUGUUUGCAGAUCAAUAAGCCGGAAACUGUUCAGCAUGGUUCUAUCACCUUCGUCAACGGAGUAAUUAUUCAUAUUCAUGGUCACUAAAAAAAAAAAUUUUAAUUUAUAGUUGUAGAUUUGUGAUAAAUUAAAACUAUGGUACUUAACCAGAUAAAGUCUUGCAAAGGGAGACAAAUAUUUGAAAGCUUGUCUCGGGACAAAUCAAUUUGAUUUUUUUGGAUACUACAUGUCUAUUUAAGCUCAAAAAUGCAAACUCAAGUUAGUUAAAGAGUUGUACUUUUCUUCAAGUUUACAGCUAGCAUAACAUAAUUAUAUUACUAAUAAUUAUAAAUAAGAUAUAAUUAUUAUUUUAUUUUUAAAAAAAAAAACUGAAUAAUUAUUACUUAUUUGCCUAGUUAAGGGUGACGCUCUACAGUCAAUAAUAAAGACAAUAUAAAAAAUUGAAUCCAAAAAAAUGAAUCGAAAGAUUGUCUAUUUGUAUGAAAAAACCCAAAUGAACCUAUUAAAUGAAAAAUUUCUUGAAGAUAUAAAACAAGAGCAGAAACAGAAAAUUGCAUGAAAAUUAUAAAUGGGAGCUUUAUUAGAUGGAAAACAACUAUUAGUUGUUUGGGAUGCUGGAUUUAUUGAAUGACGUCAAUAUAAACUUGUUAAAAGAAAUCAUCUAAGAUCUUAUUUGCAUCCAAAUAUUCAAAAAUAAAUAUUAUAAAUUCACACUUAAGAUACUUAGAAGAAACAAAUAAUUUAUUGUAAGGAGCAUUAUUUUUUUUUUCAGUAACUAUGCAAUGUUUGUUUAAAUUGUUUAUUUUUGUUUUAUAAAUAUCUAUAUUCUAUCGUUUAAUAUUUUUUUGUAUUUACCAUCUAAUAAGACAGUAUUAUUUAUAACUAUAUUUGUGUUUUCCUACUGAGACUUUUGAAAAUAUUUUUUUUUUUUUUAAAGCAGGAGUAAUUUUAAUUUGUUUUUUUUUUUUAUUUUGUUUCUAAAAUUUAAUAUAUUUUGUUUGUUAUAAUAAGUUAUAUUGACACAAACUUUAGAAAUCAAUAUGCAUUUAAUUUAAU